AUGGAAGGGACUGCCCAGGGCUGCAAAUACCGGGCGGGUCUUCAUGUGACACUAGGGGUGCUUCCCCUCAGCCUGGGCCUUGAGGCCCCCAAACCUUCCAAACUGCCCAUCAGGGUUGGGGCCUGUCCAUGGGCUUCAGGGUGCUUGAGAGGGCUCAGGCCUUUGGGCUGGGUGCAGACACAUCGCUUCUCCCACCAUGCCUCCCCUGGGGCCCUUGCUCAGCCUCUCUGGUCCCCUUGUGUCUUUCAGGGGACUGCGCUGGCCAGGAUCUCGCCACCACCUCAACAAGGCUUGGGAAGAUUAGCAGCCACCCGGAAGGUCAACUACAUAGAGGGCUUGCUCCGAUCUGGACUGAAUAUGAAUGCAGUCGAUCAUGCCGCUGCACUGUUCUUCACACCACGACAGCUGGGUCCAGUCUUGACAGGAGGCCAAAGGCUCCACCCACAAGGCACAUGGCUUGUCAGCAACAACACAGAGCACCAGUGUGUCCAGGCCACAUCCACCAACAAGCCCGAUGCCCUCUGCAAGUCCGGUUGACACAGGGCAAGAGCCAUGAGCACCCAAGCUCUGGCAGCCUUCCCGGGAGCUCUCGCUCUCUGGGCACACAGGGAUCUCCCUGCUUGGGCGGACGGUGGGCUGCCCCCCGCAAUCCUGAACCUCGAAAUCCUCGUUGA
rnacentral:lncRNA from 12 species